GCUGGAGAAGGACGAGGAAGAGUGGGCGCGCACACGCCCCUCCUUCCUCUGAGUCCAGGGCUAUUCCUGCACGGGGGAGGAGUAAGCGGCUCUUGUUGUCGCCGAGAUCUGGCGGGGAGGGGGUGGGGCUCAUUUGCUGCUGCCACCGCCCUCUCCUCCUCCUCCUCCCCCCCCCGCCUCGUCUCCUCCUUCCUCAUCUCAGCACGCAAGCAUUUGGCCAUCCCAGCCCCUCUAAGGGAUCCCGGCUGGCUGGGUUGGGAGCCAGCGCCGCGCCGCGCCGCCCAGCCGAGGGAGAGGGGAUCCCGUGUGUCCCUCGACUCUCUCUGGAGCCCUAAGCAGGAGCACGCGCAAUAUCAGGGUGAUCAGCCCAGCUGGGCGCCCCACCCCCAGGUGUGUACACAAGAGGUGGCAAGCAUGCAGGGGCCGAUGGUGUCCGGCAGCAGCUGCAGCCUGCUGGCCCCUUGGUUGGCGACUCUCGGGUUGCAUAGCCCGUGCAGCACAGAUCUUCCAAUGAACCUGUGGAAGUUAAAGAGAGUUUGGGCAGGAACAUCUUUCAAGCCUUCAGGUGUUCAGAGCCAGUGUCAACCUCAAAGUGUCGUGGUUGUCAUUCAGGUGGACGGGGGGAGGGAAAACCCCACUUACCAGUUGUCAUGUCCAGAGUGCGUACCGUUGCUGAUUCCACCCUGCUCGCCAUUUCCACAGUAGCUGCCGGCACGUGGAAGCCUUGGAUAUGAUCGCUGCCGCUGAGGGCACCUCCAUUAUAGCAGCUCCAACGCUAUCGCCGCUGCACAGAAGUAACUACGCGACUUCUAAUAUUAAAGACUAUUCCUUAGUAUUUCGACAAGCUGGAGGGGCGGAGCUUUGUGUACCAUACCCACGAUGAUGGAAUGUAACUAGCAUUGUGGGGGGAGUAUGGGGUGGAGUCACAGGAUUGGCGGGUAGCUUUAAAAGGUGAUGGGAAGCACUGCGCGGUAGCGCUGAUAAUAUACCAUUCUCCACGGGUGUUUGUUGGUUCGUGCCAGAGCCAAGAAUAAAGAUUGCUAAAACACAGAUAACUUCUGGUUUGGGGUCUUAUCUCACCGCAGAAAUCCGGAACCUGACAGCCAGGAAAAAAAGAUUUUAGAAGCUACAAAUGGACUUUUACAACACAAGUUCUCCCAUCACUUUUUUAAUUAAAGGAUGAAUGAAACAUAUCAGAAGAGCUCAGGGGCACAUAUAUAAUUGUAUGUAAAUAUUUUAGUCUUUCCUAUUGUAGUUUGGGAUUCAUAUAAAACAUGCCAUUAGAUGUAAGAUACAAUGUUUAGUUUAAAAUACAAUUAAAAGUGUUGAAUAAUGUUUAAUUUCUACAUCAAUUAAUCAGAGUAAACUAUUAUAAGUCUUUCUUGUGAUGUUAUUGUAAUACUAUGUUUAAUACCAUUUGAGAUUCUCUUAAAAGUUUCUGAUGACUCAUCCAUUCAUUCAAAUUAGAGGCCACCCAGCUCUGGACAUGUUAUGGCAAUAUAAGCAAGGGACACUAUAAAACAAUGAGAACAAAUUUAAUGCAUGUCUGACAAAAAGAUAGGUAUUUCAUUCAACAACUUUAAACAAGAUCUCAACAUUACUGUACCGCAAGUACAGUACUAAUGGGGGAAUAGCCGGAUUUUCAAUGUCAUCAAGUUGGAAACCCUCGGGGGAGGGAUGCAGUUCCAGAGGGGAGGUCUAUAACAGAGAAGACACGCUUCCUAGGUCCUAAUAGAUGGCAUUGUUUGAGUGAAGGGAUCUGAAAGGCAAGAUAGACAGUACUUCAGAUAGUCAGACCAGUGCCAUGUGAAGGGCUUUAUAGGUGGUAACCAGUAUCUCAAACUGUACCUCAUUCAGUGGUUCUCUACAGAUUAUAAACAGAAGGGGCAAGAGCAUCAGGCCCUGAGGCACCCCAAUGUGAAAGGUUUUCUUGUUUGGCCUCUCCUCCCCUGUACAGGGGACAUGGUGGCUCAGUAGCUAAGACGCUGAACUUGUUGAUUGACAGGUCGGCAGUUCAGUGGUUCGAAUCUCUAGUGCCACGUAAUGAGGUGAGCUCCCAUUACUUGUCCCAGCUUCUGCCAACCUAGCAGUUCGAAAGCAUGUAAAAAAUGCAAGUAGAAAAAUAGGGACCACCUUUGGUGGGAAGGUAACAGCGUUCCAUGCGCCUUUGGCGUUUAGUCAUGCCAGCCACAUGACCACGGAGAAUUCUUCAGACAGCACUGGCUCUUCGGCUUUGAAACGGAGAUGAGCACUGCCCCCUAGAGUCGGAAACGACUAGCAGUUGUGCAAGGGGAACCUUUACCCCUGUCCAAUACCAACUGGAAUCCUCCCCGGAGAAAGGAGAAACCCCCUCCCUGAAUCUCUACAUUCAGUUAAGUAGGAUACCAUAAUCGAUGCUAUCAAAAGCAACAGAAGGAUCACAGAGAGCUAGGAGGAAUAUGUUGUGCACAUGUGCAUGCACCCGCACACACACACAUCCGGACUGCCUACCAUUCCCAGAAGUCAUCAACAGGCAUGAUCAAUGCUAUCUCUGUACUAUGCCCUGAUCUAAAACCUGACUGAAAGGGAUCCAGAUGAUCCACUUUUUCCAGGAUAGCAAUAGCACUUAGUCUUAUAUACUACUUUACAGUGCUUUACAGCUCUCUAUAAGCAGUUUACAGAGUCUACAUAUUGCCCCCAAAAAUCUGGCUCCUCAUUUUACCCAUCUCGGAAGGAUGGAAGGCUGAGUCAACCUGAGGAUCCUCUGGAUCUGUUGUUUGACCCUCUUCUCACCAACUUUUCCUUAAAAGGGUUAAGCCUGGACAGAAAUCUAACUACAUGACCCCUCUCAGAGAGAGCCAGUACAACACAGGAAAGAUAUGGAUAAAAGUCAUAGGUUUAAAUCAAGGAGAGAAGCAACCUAGAACAAUUAAUCAAUGGAACAACUUGCCUCCAGAAGUUGUAGAUGCUCCAACACUGGAAGUUUUUAAGAUGAGAUUGGACAACCAUUUGUCUGAAAUGGUAUAGGGCAGUGAUGACUAACCUUUUUGCCAUCGCAUGCCAGGAGAGGGGGGGUGGAGGAGGGUUGCGUGCGCACGUGUCCCAGAGCUGAGCUGGCGUGCCCACUAAUAUGGCUCCGCGUGCCACAGGUAGCACGCGUGCCAUAGGUUCACCAUCACGGGUGUAGGGUUUCCUACCUAAGCGGGGUUGGACUAGAAGACCUCCAAGCCCGGGUGGUAUUCAGCAGGUUCUGACAGGUUCUGGAGAACCGGUAGCGAAAAUUUUGAGUAGUUCAGAGAACCAGCAAAUGCCACCUGUGGCUGGCCCCCGAGUGGGGUGGGAAUGGAGUUUUGCAAUAUCCUUCCUGCAGGAGGGGGGUGGGAAUGGAGAUUUUGCAGUAUCCUUCCCCUGCCAUCCCCACCAAGCCACACCACAUCCACCAAGCCAUGCCCACAGAACCGGUAGUAAAAAAAUUUGAAUUCCACCACUGCCUCCAAGGUCCCUUCCAACUCUUCUAUUCUAUUCGUUUCAAUUCUAUUCAUUUCUAUUCUAAAUUCAUCCCAGGUAUGCUCACAAUACUAUGCCCUAGUAGUUUUCAAACUUAGCAUUUCUUAGUGGUCUAUCUGAAGUUUCUGAGCUCUGAUUAGGAAGGUGAAGCUACCUGUAAGAGUAUACCCCUUUAAACAACUUAAACUACUAUAUCUUUUAAGUAGUGAUCAUGUAAGUGUUUUGGUAUAUGGUAAAUUAAAUAUUAGUGUUGUCUUGCUGCCUGAUUGGUUUUUGCAGAUCAUAUUAAAAUGAGCUGGGGGAUACCAAAUUUAGAAAAAUGUAACUUUAUUUUAGCACUCGUAUUGGUUUGGAAGUGUGAAUUAUGUAAAUGUGAACCCAACAAAUAUAUGUCUUCCUGAAACCUAA